rnacentral:tRNA from 1 species
UGUUCUAUGGCCGAACUGGUAAAGGCAUUGCCGAUAACAGGCAAGGUUGCUGGUUAGAGUCCCGCUGGAAUGG